GAUGAACGCUAGCGGGAGGCUUAACACAUGCAAGUCGAGGGGCAUCACGAGGUAGCAAUACUUUGGUGGCGACCGGCGCAUGGGUGAGUAACACGUAUGCAACCUUCCCUGUACAGGGGGAUAACCCGGAGAAAUUCGGGCUAAUACCCCAUGAUGAUAUUAUGGGGCAUCCUUUAAUAUUUAAAGCUCUGGCGGUACAGGAUGGGCAUGCGCGACAUUAGCUAGUUGGUAAGGUAACGGCUUACCAAGGCGACGAUGUUUAGGGGACCUGAGAGGGUUGUCCCCCACACUGGUACUGAGACACGGACCAGACCCCUACGGGAGGCAGCAGUGAGGAAUAUUGGUCAAUGGGCGCAAGCCUGAACCAGCCAUCCCGCGUGAAGGAAGAAUGCGCUACGCGUUGUAAACUUCUUUUCCAGGGGGAGAAUAAUCCUGUCGUGACAGGACUUGACGGUACUCUGGGAAUAAGCAUCGGCUAACUCCGUG
rnacentral:rRNA from 1 species